GGGGUUGUGGCUCAGCAGUAGAGCACUCGCCUCGCAUGUGUGAGGCCCCGAGUUCAAUCCUCAGCACCA
rnacentral:tRNA from 1 species